rnacentral:rRNA from 1 species
GGACUACCGGGGUAUCUAAUCCCGUUUGCUCCCCUGGCUUUCGCACCUCAGCGUCAGUAAUCAACCAGUGCACCGCUUUCGCCGCCGGAGUUCCUCCCGAUAUCAACGCAUUUCACCGCUCCACCGGGAAUUCCAUGCACCCCUUUGAUCCUCAAGCAACGCAGUACUGGGCGCAGUUCCUCGGUUAGGCCGAGGGAUUUCACACCCAACUUACGUCGCCGCCUACGUGCGCUUUAUGCCCAGUGAUUCCGAACAACGCUCGCCACCUUCGUCUUACCGCGGCUGCUGGCAC